rnacentral:tRNA from 1 species
GCCUGUGUGGCUCAGUUGGUUAAGCAUCUGACUUCGGCUCAGGUCAUGAUCUCACAGUUCGUGGGUUCAGGUCCUGCGUCAGGCC